rnacentral:other from 1 species
GAGUCGUACAACGAAGCGAACGUCAGGAUGAUGACGCUUCAGCAGGACACGCCAGGAUGGUGUUACAAGGAAAGGCUUCAGGAUGAAGCAAAGUGGAAAGCGCAGGAUGCGUUAAAGGACACCUCCAGGACGGAGAACGAGAGCCGAUCAGGAUGUUCGGGCGGGUCUGGAUGACCAGGGGACGCUUCAGGAAGAAGCUAUCACAUCGGGCGAUGUGCGCAGGAUGCAAACGUUCAGGAUGAACAGGCCGUAA